UAUUUUUUUUUUUUUUUUUUGUAUCAAUUUUUUUAUAUAUUAUAUUUAUAAACCACAAAAGUAAUGAAAUCACAAUUUCUAUCAUUAUCUUAUAAUAAAAUUAACUUAUUGAUGAUCUAUAAAACUUUAUUGAUGAAUUAUUAUGAUUUUUAAUAUCAAGACUUACUUAUCAAGAAAACACAACAUUCUAUUAAUCUUUACAAUUUACAAAGAAAAUUUUAAAUCUUAUGAUAAAUAGAUUCUUUACAAAAAGAAAUUUAUAAUUGCAAGAAAGUCUUUUGUAAUAAUGGCAUAGAUACAUGUAUUUAAACUUGUAAGACAACAAAAAUUAUUAGCACCAAGAUUUAAAAAAUAAAUAAUGAUGAGAUAUCAAAAGUAGUAUCUAAUGCAUUCUAUUUAUCUAUGAUAAAAGAAGGUAGACUCUAAAUACAAUAAUAUUGAUAAAGUAAAUAAAUAUAUGGAAAGCAUCAUAUUAUUGCUCACAAUAAAAUUAUAAUCUAAUAAUAUCUAUUUGACAUGUAUAAUAGAAGUAAUGAAUAUAGUACCAAAAACAUUAGAUGUGUAUAUAAUUCUAAUCAAAGUAUUAAUAUAGAUGAAUUUCAAUGUCUUUUUUUUCUAUUGCGUGAAUCACUAUAUAUGUAAAUUAUAUUAAUUAUUUUAAAUAAUAAUUACAACCAUUGAAUAGUUUUUCCAUGAUCUUGAAUGAUUGUUAGAAUUUUAGAAAUUAAUGAUGAAAAAAGCAUAUGGCAUUUUUUAAAAAUGAACUCACAUUAAUAUCUUAGAUUGUAAUCUUUUAAUUUUUUUUCAAUAUCAUGUCAAACAUCAUAUUCUUUAAUAUUGAAAAAUAAAAUAAUAACUUUAAAAUAUUCAAAAUAUAUUAUUAUAUUUAUAGCAUUUAGUUUAGAUAUGAUUUUUAUUAUUAGAAUAGUUUAAGCAUUAUAAUAAAAAGAUUAUAUUUAAAAAAAAAUAUUAAGCAAAGCCUAUAUUAAUUUUAUUUUGGUAUGUUAUCUAAACUAUAAUCAAAAAAAUUAAUGCUCUUAUAUUAUGAAAAAUAUGUAUAUUUAUUAUUUCCUACAUAAAACAUCUUGUAAAUAAUGUAGAGACAUUUAUUAAUAAUUUUAUACUUUAAAUUAUUGUUAGAAAUAUUUUACAUAUUCAAUUAUAAGUAAUUUAUAUUUACAUAUCUAUUAAAUAUUAAGAAAGACGCCAACUAUAGAGGAUUGGUCAUGUGUUAUCACAAAGUCCAAUUUAGAUUUUAGCUUAUAACAACAAAAAAAUAUAAAGAUUUGUUUAAAAUCUAAUGAUAAUUUGAAGAUUUUUUUAAUAGAUAGCAAGAAUUUGAGAUUUUUAUAAAAUAAAAAAAUACAUGGGAUUUUGUUCUAGCUAUAUUAUAUAAUUAAAUGUAAAUUCUUGUAUUUUAUUUAGAAAUAAUAUUCUUGGAUUUUAAAUUUGCAAAGGUAUAAUAUUGUCAAACCAAAUUCUAUUUGACAAUCAAUUUUUAAAUUUUUUUUAAUAAAAUAAUUCAAGCAAUGCUUAAAUAAUGAAACAUUUAGAAAUAAAAGAAAAUAAUAAAAAUUAUAAUUUGUUGGAAGAAACAUAGAGAUAGGUGCACACAAGAAUUAUCUAUAGCAAUCAACAAAGACAUCUUUGAUUAUAUAUUUAAUCUCUCUAAAAUAAUCAAAAUAUUUUUAUUAGCAAGCAAGCCAAAAAUAAAAACAUCUCAUAAUCUUUUUAUUCUUUUUUGUACAAACAAAAUAAUAAAAUGAUCACAAGAUAGUUUUGAUUUAGAUAAACAUUGUAGCAAAUAUAUAUAUAUAAUUUUACAAGAUUAACCUACUAUAACUAUAUUAGAAUUGUCAUUCAUCUUUUUAAGGAUAUUUAAUACAUAGUCAUUGAAUAAUAAUUGUCAAUGCAAAUGAACUAUUUUAAAAACUUGUAUAUUACAAAUAAUUAAAUAAAAAAACUAAUAUGACAUUAAAGUAAAAAAAAUUAUAUUACCUAAACCAAAAUGCAACACCAUACAAUACACAUUUUAAAGAUAUAUAUAUGUAUAUCUCAACACACUUAGAACCUUAUACCCUAAAAUUACAACUUAGUUAUUCAUAAAAAAUAUAGAAAUGCAUUAUAAAAUGUGUGUGUUGAAAAAAAAUUAUAUUAAUAUUUACUUUAAAUAUGUAAUAUAUUGCACAUAAAUACUUUUAAGUAUUCUAAAACAUCUGACAAAUACCAACAAAGUUUUAGUAUAUCAAGUAGUAAUCAUGAGCAAUUUUUUAUUUUUAUAGCAUUCAUAUCAAAAUCGAAAAGAAAAAAUUUAUUAUUUUUUAUUAAUUUUUUUAAUAAAUUAACAAUAUUUAAAGAAGAUAAUAAUAAGAAAUUAAUGUAAAAAAUAUUCUAAAAAAUGCAAUAUAUUUCAUUCAUUAAAAAUAAAAAUUUCUUGAAUGAAAAUAUCAAUGCCAACAAGUACUGAAACCACGUCAUAAUAAUAAUGUCAUGUUGAAAUAGAUUGUAGUAAAUGAAAGUUAUGUUUGAGUGUGACUGGUUCCAUAAAACUUUAAAGAGAAGUCACAGAAGCGAAACAGAAUCAUCAUCAUCAGCAGCACCAUCAUGCAUGCAUGCAUGCAGAGUCAACCAUCAUGUUGUAGCAGUUCCAUUGGAGGAGGAGAGAUUCGGUAUAUACCCUGUUAAUAUCUCCCGGGUAUCAGAAGGCAGUUGAUGUUGGGGAAGGUGUACGCUGGGACGGCAAGAGGCAUCCAGAAGGUACCAAAUGGCAAGGCGAGGCUGGAAGAUCUGCGAGGCUGCUGCAUCAGCAGGGAAAAUGUUUUUUUUUUCCUGUCCAUGAAAGAUCCAGCGUCGGACCAAUUUACAGUUCACUGCUCUGCUCUCUCUCUCUCUCUCCGGAGCUUCAUCUCCUUCCGCUUUUCAAAGGCGCAGCCUCACAACAGGUUUGUUCACUAUUCUUUGCAUUGACUGCGAGGGGUGGCGCUCCUCAUCGUGUCGCAUUGCCUCACCUGGUGGCACAAGCCGAGUUCAUAGAUACCAUGGACCCAGGCCAAAGCAUUGCCAUUGUGAUCCCUCUACAUUGCUUUUAAUUCUUUUGACGUUUUCCUGCUCUUGAGUCGUUAACGAUUUGACCGAUUGAUUGCUCUGCUUCUCGAGGUGUCGGCAACGGGGCCGCAUUGUGGUUAUUAGAAGUCUAGGAGGGCGGUUACUGUGAGAUUAGGUUGGUAGUAAGGGGAUCCAGGCAAUAGGGUCACGGGUUACCUGCAUUCCCAUCCCCUCUUCCUGGAUUAGUAUUUCGAUUCCUGUGCGUGAGUGCGUAGUUUUUCUGCGGCGUUGCAUUGGAGCACAGCUUCAGGGGAGGCAGUAGUUUAGAAGGGAUUACGACUGAGGAAUCCCUGGGAGUGACGAGGGGCUUAGUGACGGGUGGUAGAGUAUGAGGGACGACGACGAGGAAGAGGAGCUUUUGCAGCGGGCAUUGGCGGAGCAAGCAGCCAGGGAAGUGAGCUACCAGAGGCCACCAAAUCAGCCGCCUCCAAAUGUGUCGGUAGCGGCAUCAGGUCCGUCUCAACACAAGCCUCGACGCGGUAUAAAACACAUUUCUCUCUCGCCAACUGGCAGAGGACCGCCAAGAAGGGAGGCUCCGCAGACAGAAGUGAACGGUGGCCCACCGAGGAGGAGGUCCUCUAGUGCUAAUGGAGUUCAGGUUGCUGCCCCCCCAAGGAGAGUAGCACCUGCUAAGACUUCAACGAUUGAGCACGAUGAUGAGUCGGAUGUGGAGCUUCUGAGUUUAUCCUCGGAUGAUGAUGAUGAUGAUGAUGAGUCGCAGGGACGUCGCGCGAUCGUGUCAAGCAAUAAGCCAUUGAAGUCUCAGGGCGCAGCAGUGGACGAGGAUGACGAUCUGUGGAAUGAGAACGAUGAAGAUCCUUCGACUUGGAGUGGAGUUGAUCAAGCAGAGGUCAAUGUCGUCUACCUUCAUCUUAAGUCUAAUAGACUUGUUAUUACGUUCCUGUCUUGCACUAGGCGCUUGAAAUGUAUAUCGAGAUCUCCGAAAAUUUUAUGAGAGUUUUGCGAACGAGCUCCUUCUGAUUGAAAGGGAAGAGAUAUAUUUACUUCAUUGUUCCCCACAUCUCGCUAUAAUCGGCUUCAACCUGUAGGCAUUUAGUUUAUUGCGCAUUGAAUUGAAGGAUAAAGAUAUUCAUGUCUGAAUUCUGUAACUUUUCAACUCUCGUUUCACAGAAUUAGGAAAAAUGCUCGCACUUGAAGUUCUUUUUUAGUGAUUAAUUUUAUAACAAAAAAAAUUGAAGAUUUCUAGUUAAUUUGCAAAAUUUGACUUCAUACAUGAUUAACGUAGAAGUCAUUGCGUUUGUUUUAAGAAUAUAUCAAAAUUUUGUGAUUACCUGACAUCCAGAUUUUCCAUCCAUUUAGGAAUAUCGAAAAUGUCCCAGCAAGUUUUAAAGAAAUUGAUACCAUUUCUUGACGUGUAAAAUUGCAGCUGGCAAGAAGGGUGCGGGAAAUGCGGGAAACCCGAACAGCACCAACCUCUCAUGCGCCAGGAAUCCGCUUGCGCAAGUCAACCAAUAUCGUGGAUGUUAUCCCGAGAGCAGAGGACUAUGUUGAUCCCUUGGGGCUUGGGUAUGUGCAUCACACACACUUAAGUAUUGGUUUUUUAUAUACCGAUGUGAAUGACGCCCUUUAUUUCGACGAGCUUUGUAUGGUCAAGUGAUCAUAAUUUUUAGAGUAGCUCUUCGAGCAUUAAGUCAUUCUGUCGCAAGUUAGGUUGUUGCUCCAUUUUCAGCUUUAAGGUAGUAUCCCUCAUUGCGAAUGGAUCCUGAAAGUCCUGUAUCUAACCCCCUAUUUCUGCAGUCUUAUAGAUAUCAGAAGUUUGACACUAAUUCCUAAAGACAAGCUUGGCGAUCACCCUUCUUCGACAGACAAAGGGAGCGAUGGAGGACGAGGUUUCCUGAAAGGCAAGAAGGCUGAUAUGAAGGUACCUACACGAGACACAACUGAAGUAGAUCCUGAUCAGCCUGAACUUCCAGUUGUGAAAGAUCAUGCUACAAGAGGUGCGUUGUUAUUCACCAUCUUUUUUUCUGGACUGUUGACUCCUGAGUUUCAUUCCAACUGUCUAUGAUUUACAAAUCAUUUAGACUUCUCUUUUGCAUAGCCUUCUGUGAUAUUUGGUUCUUAAUGCAAGAAUGCAUCUCACUAGUUUCCGCUGGUCUCAUCACAAUACAUCUCUGCAUCUGUGAACACACCAAGAUUACACCAUUGUAUAGGUCUGGAUGAGCUCUGGAUUACAGGAGUAUACGCCCUGAUUAGACUCUUCUUAUAAGACUUCAUGGUUGAGUUUUUGCCCUGUGUAGAGAAAAUAAUUUAUCAUUCGGAGAAGUUUGAUCCAAGGUUCUUCCUCGCUCGUAUACAUCAGAAUACCAGUGCGCAUGAUCUCGAGGAUGCUGGUGAUGCUUUGCGGCGUGGUUUGCAAAGUCGCAAAGAGCAACUGAAGAAGUUGGUGAAAGAGAAUUUUGACUGUUUCAUCUCCUGCAAGAACACCAUUGACGGUAAUGACUCCAUCUUCUGAUUUAGGUGUGUAUGCUGUUGCUUGAUUACGAGCAUCAGCAAACACGAUACUUGCUGCGGCUCCCACCCAAAUGAGCCCGUCGUCAUGUUCUAGCUCCUAAAAAUCCUUCGCUAAUCUGAGUUUGCUUUUCCACCUUUAAGAUCUAGCCAGUAUUUUAAAAUACUUGGUUGAGGUGAUCAUGGCACUGAGGUUCUGAAGUUGGCAUGGGGUAUACGUUUCUUGUCUAUCUUUUAUAAGACUUUAGUGUACGCCUGGCAUCUCAUGCUCGUUUCCUCAAUUUUUGCAGAUAUACAUUUAAAACUUCAACAAAUAGAAUCUCCCAAAGAGGGCACUGGAACUGUGCAUCUUAACAAUGCCAUUGGGGAAGUCGAUGUUUUUGCCAAGCGAGCAUUCGCACCUCUCCUCGAACGACAGGUCCACACAUGCUUCUCAUUUUAUAUCGAAUCAUCUUAUUUUCCAAAUUACAUUUUCUUCCCCAAUUUCAAUCUCGUGGAAGUCCAGGAUCAGUUUGUGCUUGUUAGACUAGCCUGAACUCGCCCAUGGCUAUCCUCUCAUCCUGUUCAGUCUAUUGUCAUAAGAUUCUCAAUUGAAUACUGUGAACGGUGGCGUAGUUAUGAUGUUAAUUCAAACUCUACAGUAAUCGAAUUUCCUGGACAUUGUUGUAGGCUCAAGUGGAGCGUAUAAGAUCUGUUCAAGGAAUGCUCCAGCGAUUCAGAACCCUCUUCAACUUGCCUAGCAUGAUUCGCGCAAGUAUUAGCAAGGGUGAAUACGACCUUGCAGUUCGGGAGUACAAAAAAGCCAAAACACUUGUGUUGUACUCACAUGUACGCUAUUGCAGCUCUUAUUUCUAUUUUCCCAGAGCUUGCUCAUGUCUACAAGCGUGGUCAAGGGCAUUUUCUGCACAAUUGAUAUCAGCCACAAUUAUACCAUGUGUCUGAGGUUUCUGCAGGUUGCCAUUUUGAGCAGGGUGCUGCAAGAGGUAGAUAAGAUUGUUCAGGAAUUCAAAGAGAUGCUUUACAAGAAGAUGGAGGAUCCUCAUCUCGAGAUGUCUCAGGUGAGAGCUUGCGUGAUUGUGCUGCCACUAUUCCUGGUGAGUCUAUCAUUUACUUCACGCAGGUAUUGUUGCUAUUGGAGUCGCUGCCUUGCUGGAGUGCAAUUCUUGAGGCCUACACGUGAGCAAACGAAGGUUUAUUUGAGUGCCUAUUUGUUUUGUGUGUAGUUGGAGAACACGAUUCGGCUCCUGCUGGAGCUUGAGCCAGAUUCAGACCCUGUUUGGCAUUACCUGACUAUUCAGGUGUCUUCCCUUUCUACUGUCAGACUUUCUAAGGGUUUAAUCACAAGUGUCAUAAUAGUAGCUUUUCAAGUUUCAGCAACCUCGCCUUUUUCUUUUGAACACCCUCAUGGAUAAUGGAGUCUGGAUCAGUCUUGUUCUUCCCCAACUGCAUUUCACUUAUGUUUAGGUUAUUUGAUUCGUGACUCAAUUCGACAGGAUCGGAGAAUCCGGGGACUCCUGGAAGGAUGUACCUUAGAGCAUGAUUCUCGAAUGGAUGCUCUUCUUGGGCGCGCUCGCGAGCGUGUUCAGUCGGAUGCUCGUUGGAAGCAACUUCAGCGAGAAUCUAAUAAGGCUGUAUGUGUUUCUCAGGCUAUUCCUCACUGGGCCGCACCCUAAAACACUAUUUUCAAUGGUAGUGAAGGCAAUUUGAGGGGUAUUCUGGCGAAUGCAUGUCUUUAUUAGGAUGAAUUGGUAAAGUAGUUCGUAAUAUUCUAAUCUUUUUUACUGUGUUGUUUUGCAACAUUUAGUCUCAAGUUUGCGUUGGUGCACUUGCAGUCAGAUGUGGACUUUAACCUGCUUCUAGGCAGCAAUGAUAGAGAGCAAGAUCGAAGUAGUAUUAUAGAUACUUCUGGCAACGAAUCGGACGCACUUUUGGGUCGUCUAAUUCGGCGACUUACGGCUGUUAUCGUAACGCACUUGCCAAGUUUCUGGCGUCUAGCUAUCUCCAUAUUCAAUGGGAAAUUUACUAAGGUAUUUAUUUGAUGUAACGCAUUUGAACAGCAAUAUAGUCUGUAGGGAUUAGUUAUAGUUUGAACCGUCAGUCCAGACAGGAGCAGAUUUUUAAGGUGUAGCGACUACCUGGUAUGUUGUUCAUACACCACCUUGAAGCAAGGUUAUUGUGAUAUAAUACUUCACAAUACCCUUCACGAAAUCUAUCAGUUCGGCAAUAGAAUGGUACAUUAAAGUCUCCUAGACCCUUGGGGCAUGAUGUUGAUGAUAGCGGAUAAUUUGAAGCCGAUGCGUAGUACAGCCAAGAUAUGAUUAGUAGUGCGGUUAGAGUAGAACGUGGGUGCCUGAAAAAUGAGCUCACAUUUUGCAGGUUACUGGUGGAAGCAUGGGAUUGCGAAAGGCAGGCUCUAAAUCAGAUAAUGAGAGCGAAAGCUAUCCCUUUGAAGAAGUUGCUGAAUCGAAAUUCACCUCUCAUUCUCUGGAUGAAGUCGUUACCAUGGUCCACUGCAUUAUUUCUCUUUAUGAAUCAAAGGUACUUUUUUGAGGCUGGAAAUUCUUGAAAGCAUUCUUGACUAGUUUAGCAGUGGAUGUUCAUGUUAAUUGGAUGAUUUUAACACUGCGCACCCCUUAGGUUGUGUCUGGGUGAUAUUAGUUAUUGACAAAAGUUUAUUGUUGGUUUUUGUCUACCAGGUCCAGACCGCAUAUCUUUCCCUCGCAGAAGCCAAUGUCCUUCGCCCAUACAUGCGGCAAGGAGUAGCAGAGAUAUCAAAAGCAUGUAUUGCACUUGAAGGAAACGAUUGUGCUCCUGCAAGUGCAUGUAAACUUCUCUUCAGAAUCUCUGACGCCAGAUUGCGAAUGGAAAUGCAUUCAUUUGAUUGAAAUUAUAGCGAUUUCUGUAGUCUCUUGACGAUUAGGAACCUAGAGUACAUUACUCACUGGAGAUCAUAAAUAAUAUGUUUGAUAUCCGUGGUUAUUAUGUCUUUUCAUGACAUCAUGCUGAACUUAGUUGGUGUACUUGAUGUCGCUUUUAUAGGAAUAUGGGUUGCUUGCAGUUUGUGUACGUUCAUGUGCGGUCAUCACAUGAGGAAAUUUCAUCACUUGCAGGGAGGGCGAGUAUGAAAUAUUAUUUUUGUGUAAUCUACUGUAUAUGGCCUUCUGAUUUAUUAUGCUAUUUCUUCACAGUUCAAAUGCUGUUGGUGCUGCGUACUGAAGUGACAAGAGUAUUUGUUCUACGAUUAUGUGCUCUCGUGCACACUGCCACCACAGAUCUGGUGAACGAAGAGGAUUGGAUUCCUGUAGCCACGGUAGAACGGGGUGGUUCACCUUUUGCAAUUUCAAGUAUACCUCUCCGUUUUCGGGACAUGCUUGAAUCUGCAAUGGAGUAUCUAACUGAGUAAAGUUCAUUCUAUAACCGUGAGCAAAUCUCUGAAUUUUAUAUCCUUAACAGAAAAUGCAAACCAGUACACACCAGACAGUAGAGAAUAUAAACUAACUUAUUCAAGCAUCGUAUUUCUUGUCGCAGGAUGCUAGACAGGCUAAAAGUGGGAUCUCCUGGGCACGAGGAUAUGGUCAACCAGCUCCAUCAAAUGCAGGACAACGUGCACAACACGUUCUUUGAGUGUUUUCUCACACUUGCCGGUCAGUUGUCAACGUUCCAGGAAACGUUAUCUUGUGAUUACCUCAUCGAUACCAUUUUCAUCCAUGCCGUAUGAUUUCUGCAAGCAAAUAGUAAGUUAUUCAGAAAGUGUACCUUAGCGUUUGUUUAAGUUGGUCAGUUUUCACUUUGCAGAAAAUCUGGAAAAGCUAGCCUUCGAGCUUUCAAGAUCACCUCUACCACUUAAAAAUGAUGAAACCGAUUUUGAACACGAACCAUCAGGGUCAGAGAGGUUUGUGGGACUCGUAGCUGGAAAUGAAGUGAUCAGCCACCACCAGCGCCUCCUGAUGGUGCUCAGUAAUGCUGGAUUCUGUAAUUCACACGUACUGCCAGAGCUUUCAAGAAAGUAUCAACAUGUUUGGUCUUAUGCUGGGUGAGCGGAUGGCAUUACAAUUCUUUUGGGACUCGCUUUUUGUAUUCAUGACCUCGUUUUCAAGUUUAUGAAUGCUCCUACUUCUCGCUGAGAGGACUUUGGGUAUGCAUUGGCAGCAAGGAAGACAAGAGGGGAAUAGGACCUGGGGCCAGUCAUGUUACUGCUGAAGAAGCAGGAGCCAGCUUGUCAUCUUCGGAAGACAAGAUUCUCAAUCAAUACAACUAUGAGAAGGUUCUAUAAUAAACUUCAUUGAACUAUUUUACCUGUUCCACGGAAGUCCCAGUUCGGUGUAAUGACAGUGGAGCUGCUGGGCUCAUUUGACUGCAAUUGAACCUUCUACAUAUUUGCCGGGUUCUUUGCUUGCAGGCCAUGUCUGUUGGAAUAGCUGCUGCUGCGUACUUGCUAGAUGAUGGGACACAGUGGUCUGCUUCCCCACCGGUGAAGGUGGAUUUUUAUUACUUUUCUGGACUCCUGCAAUGCCCUUCAUGACAAGCGAAAUUGUGAAAGCAUUCUUUCGUAUGUUUUUCACUAACUCGGUUUGCUAGCUGUAUCACACUCCAGUUUAUUCCCUGUCAAAUGGAUCCAUUUGACAUUUAGAUCAUUCAGCCUGAAACCGUGAUAAUUCUUUCUAGGGCAUACGAGGAGCAGUGGUAGAAUUACUUCAUCCACUGGUAUCCGUCCAUGCAGAGGUAGGUGGUGACUUAUUCCGUCAUUUGUUUGUCUGCAAAUCAAUGUUUUUCGCUAUUGUGGCUCAAUUCUCCGAAAUAAUGUUGUGGCUAAAAGUGAUUGGUUACUUCUGUUAGUUAAUUUGUCCCCUUCUAUAUACUAGUAUUCCAUAAUGAAAGAUAAAAUUUGCCUGGAAGUCGGGAGAAUCAUGAUUGUAGGUUUUUAGGCCUUCUCUAUUAGCGGUUUUUGAAUCACAAAAGAAGUGUUCAUGUAUGUGGAUUAUAUAGAGGUUUAGUGAUGCUUUAUUCUCUAGGCAUCGCAUCAUAUCUUUUUUAGAAGAUGGAUUUUGAAUACUAGCGAAAGUUUCAGACUAUGUUAAGCAGCGUGAACUGUGUAUUCUAUGGGCAGGUCUAUGCAGGGGCCAAACCUUUUGUAGAGAAGGUGAUAAACCAUCUGGCGGAAGGACUUUUGGAAGCUUUGCUCAAUGUCUUCACAGAGAACAAGACUAAGGUGUUAAAAUCCCUUGAUGUUCAAGGAUACUGUCAGCUGAUGCUCGAGGUAAAUAUGGAUUUCUUAUUUUGUUCGAGAAUAUUAAUAGGUGUCUGAAUUUUCUCAAGAACGCUUAAGAAUAUGCGUCAAGGGUUCAAUUGGUUGUGCUUUGGUAGCAAGGUUCUCCAAUGUCAUUGGUGUAAAUGGCAUAUCCACCCACGUAAUAAAUAUGAACUCUUCUAAUAUUGCUGUCGUCUACCCAUGAUGUCAAUGUCUUCUUUUCAAAUCUUCUUGAAACUUGUUUUUUCAGGUUAAAUAUAUUGAAGCUGUUCUCGGAGGCUACAUGAACGCAACAUCCCGUGAUAUAGUUCUUCACUUGCGGGACUUGCUUCUUGACAGGGUUCUUGAGACUGUCGGUGAUGUAUCUGAACUAGGUCUACGAAGGUCUACGAGAAGCAGUGAUGAUGGAACUGAGGACAGAGGUUCUAUUGUGAACGUUUCACAGGAGGACAUACAGGUAUUGGUUACCAAACCUUACUACACAUUAUUUUUCCUAAUAAUUUUGGAAGGGUAGGAGCUGAACUUCCGUGAUGUUUGUGAUGUGUAAAGAUACUCGUUCAACAAGUUAUAGCCGAGUACCUUUCAAGCGAACUGGAGAGAACACGUGUCAAUGUUUUUUGUUUCACGGAUGCACUUACGAACUCGGACCUACAAGGGAGGCGGACCGUAGCCACUCAACAGCGAACUCGGUCAAACUUUCCGAGUACGUUAAAGACAAGACAUCGUAGGAAAAAUUCUGCAUCGAGCUUGACUGACUCUGAGUCAGUGAAGCCUGUCGGUGUCCUUCCUCUCCUCUCACCAUAUGGCAGUUACGCAAGUUCAGAAUUUGGCAGUGAUGGAGGCAUAGUUGACUUGCGUUCCAGAGGGACUCCUAAUGCAACUGACCGAUAUUCAAGAGGUUCCGUGGAAUUAAGACGUACUGUGCAGAGGCCUGUUCCAAGACUCUUCCAUGAUGGUUAGAAUUCAAUGCACGAAACCCGUAUUUUUCGUGUCAAAGCCUGGUAGGCACUUCAUAUCCACCUUUGUGGUUCCAGUCCUGUACAUUGAACUGAUUGUUGCAUAAACCAAUCACCUUUGUGAAUCAGUAGGUUAGGUAGUCACGUUAAUUUACUCAAUUCAAGUGGUGGUCAAACUCGAUUUAUUAGAGGUUAAUCUGGCCUUUCUAAGAUACUUAUUACUCAGCGAUGCAACACCCUCUGCUUGGCAAGUGAGUUGAAAAUGUGUUGUAACUGCUCUGUACGGACAUUCUUUUUGCAAUUAUUAGUAAAGCAAAUUGCACCAGUUAAUAUCACGACUGUGAUCGUGAAGCUGAUUUUAGUAGACAAAGAUUUACAUUGUGAACUGAUGAAGCGUGGUUGGACACCAGAAUUUACUGCUAAAAAAGAGAAUUUGAUGAGAUGGAUACUAACGAAAUAUAUUGAUAACAAAAGAAUACUACGCAUAUAUUCACUUUUAACAUAUUGAAAAAUAAUUAAAUGAACAUUUAUUGUUUAUAGUUUAUUAAGAAUUAUCGAGUAAUUAGAACAUAUUUUAAUUCUACGUAUUCCUGUAUUUACAAAUUUCAGUACCAAUAAAUAUCUGAAUUUGAAGUAAGAAAAUUCUAAACCUAAUCUUACAUAAUUGAAAGAUACCCUGUUUAGUUCAAAAACAACAUUUAGGUUAGGAAAGUUUUUAACUUAUUUUGUUGAACGUCAAAUUUCUAAACAAAAUAAAAAAUUUAAUGCCAUAACCAAUUAAUUAAUAUUUUAUUUUAAAAUGUAUGAAAUCAAAAUAUUCCCAGCUAGCAUUGAGAAAAGAAGAAACAUCAAAAACAAAAACUAGAUCCUAAAUAAAAUUUUGUGAAUUUUCAUUAGUUUAUUUUCACUAUUCAUGCAGCAAGAAUUUAUCCAUCCCUAAUUAUUAGUAUUCGGCAUUGAAUUUGAGUUUGAAAACCAUCACAAAGCUUACUGGUGUAGAUGAUUGUUUUAUGUAUUAAUUUGAUGUGUAUAAAUAGAUAUUAUAGUGAUGAUGCAUUGCAGUGAUUCAACCAGUCUUCAACAAAAUAACCAAGCUAUAUCAUAAGAAAACAAUAAUAAAAAGAAGCCAAAAUGCAAAUCUUAAAAAGAUAGUUCAUGUCUAAUUGUUUGAAAAUAUUAGGAUUCGUAAGAGGGACCACAUGGCUUCAAUAAAACAAUUUAUGAUAUGUUUUGUUGUAACCAUCUGGCGAGAGUGUCCUGAACCCGUGCCCAGAACAUAUUACAAGUCUCGUGACGUUGAACUGUUCUUGCCGUAGAAAACAAAUCCUCACAUGCUGAACACAGUUCGCGCAGUGCUUAGAAGUGUACAUCUCUAGAUCUAGAGAUUGGCAUGACACAACGAUGCCACAUGGAAAAUUUAAAAACCGCAUCCUGCUUCACAUGGUGGACACCUAAAAUAACCAGAAAAUUACAUGCUCCUAAGUAGCCAUUAAGGAGGGAAGGACAAUUCGGAAUCAAGCGACUAUACUAUAUUGAUGAUCAAGUUCAGAAAAAUGAUCCAAAGAAAUACCUAUCCAGUAUAAACAAUAUGCUUAACUAAUUCUCCUGGAUGUGAGAAACAGCAUCACCCUUCGCUACUCCAAACCGAUAUCAAUUCUAAUUACCAUAGAAAACGUGAAAGCUUGUUAAAGAUGAAUUUAGGAGUACUCCAAAGGUCACUCUAAAAUGGCUGUGUCCGGAAAACACUUUGUUGCCCACGUCCUCUGCCACCAAUGCCGCCGCCACCUUUCCUGCGGCCACCUUGCUGGACGUUAAACUUCGGUGCCGCUUGUUGCGAAGUAUUGCGAAUACUUGCAAACAACGAGUCCAAUGUCUUGGGCCUCUGAGGCUGCGCUUGGAAGUGAUUUGCCUGAACAUCACAAGACAGUCAUCGUACCAUCAUCACCAAAUACUAAUUUGGCAAACUUAACAUCAUUGAACCGAAAGCAGAGGUUUUCCUGGUACAACUCAGCAAUUUGAUAUCCAAUACAUUCAAUGCUAUGAGCACAGAAGGCGAAGGUCAUUUCCCAACUUUCUCAAGCUAAACACGCUGAAAAACGUAGUGUACGAAGGCAAUGCAUAUUAUGGUUGAGUGUACAUUAUCAGUUGAGACCUGUCGAAACGAGACUGAUGGUGCGGCUCCUACAGUGCGUCUUCGAGAGUGAGCAGCUCCCCUGCCGGUACCGACGCUGCAACACAUAUGCAAACAAGAUUAGUACGUAGUUCAUAUUUCCCUUCUUGGCUACGAGCCAAGAAGCGCCUCCAACGAACCAACCCAGAUGGACAGAGGUAGAGGGACAUACCACAAAGGCCAUCAUGACCCUAAUACCUCUGAUGAUCGAAGAGUAAGUGAGAGGAAAAGACGAAGGUAGAGGAUCUGUCCAACUUGAAUUAGGGCUCUGAAAUCAUUCGCGACACGUAGUAGCCGGAGAAGCACUUCCUUAUGAUAGUACCAUAAAGCUAGAGUUUCCUUCGAUAUAGAUUUCAAGUGCCACGCAUCAAAAAUAACCUCUGAGUAUGAUUGCACCCAGUUGCCAAACCAAAUCAUCUCCAGUUCUUUAAGUUUGUGGUUGAAAGCAAUGUCUCCGAGCGAUGCUCAUCUAUUCGAUCAACGUUGUCAGAAAACCCCAGACUGCUCAUUCAAGAGAAUCAACUGCGACUGAAAGUCCAACCAAAUCAAGUCCGGGACCCCCUACCCAAAACUACGCCAUAUUGGUUCCCAACUUCAUUGGGAGCCAACACAUUGCAACUUCCAUCAUUGAAGGGCUUCUCAUAGGCUGCAGCACUUGUUGCUUCCCCCUAUGGUGCUCUCUGCGAGUAGCCUUGGCAUGUACCUCCACUAGUGAAGGAGGUCCAAGGGCGGCGAAAUGACAUGCAAUAGAACUCCGUAAAAGGAGGCCGAUUCUUCUCUUAAAGAACUCGUAAGGUCAUGGACCCUGUCCGAGAUCCUUGCCCGUCUCAUUUGAUAUAUCUAUACUCUCCACUCCAGUUUAAGUGUGUUGACUAAGUUUUAAAUAUCUUCAAUCCUUCAUUUACAAGUCAAUCCGUUCACUUGCGAUCCUACGCGGAAGUUCAAUUCUACAGCCAUAAAAUAAGGAGCACCUUGCAGGGGGUCUUCACUGAAGAACCUCUUGUCACAAAAACCAGUUCUGAUAUUGCAAAGGCCAGUACAUACACCAAAACAAUCCCCAAGAUGUAGCAGCAAUUGGAAUCGGGCACACCAGCCACUCACUUGCUCGCAUUAUUGACGACCGACACUGUCAUGUUCGGAGCAGCAACAGGGAAGGUAUUGGGACCCCUCUGAAAAUUACGCUUCCUUCCAAAUGCAGUUCUUCCAGACAUUUCAGUGCUGCUUUUCAUGAUUUGCCUGCUUCGAGUACUAAUGGGGGCAGAGAAAGCUCUCUUACUAGAAGCUGCAGUAGCAGGAAAACUAGCAGCGCCAUUACGGGCUCUAGCCUCCGCAAAUUUCCCCUGUAAGACACAAGGAUGACAUAUCAGGAUAGACAAUAGAGAACUACAUCAUCUGCACCACCAGCAUUACAGUGUAACAUUCCACCAAACUAAAAUAUAAUUAUCCUCGCAGAGCAAGAGAUCUUCCAUGCAGAACUCCUAAAGAUGAACAGAAUACAACACCUGUCGCAUGCCUGAUGAUCGAGCAGCAACAGAUUUUUGAAGUGCAGCCUUAGCAGCAAGAGCGUUUGGCGUCUUAUUUCUUCCUUUGAUCUGCAAGAGAAAUCAUGCAAAGUCAUUAAAACAGCUUGAAGUACCUUAGGGAGCUGAUUUAAGAAAAAACGAAAAGAGGUCAAAAUAAAUAUAAAAAAAAAAAAAAAAAAAAAACAUCGGGAUUAUAUCUAUCUGAGACAACACUUACCGGAAUUCGAGUUUUGGCGUUAGCCUUCUUCGACUGCUUGAUAAUAUCGUCUGCAUAAUAACAAAGAUAAGUAAAACUCACGCAGACAACAUACAUGUGAUAUACGGCGAAGAAGUGAAUCUCCAAGAAUCUACGAUAGAGUAUGCCGACUAUUAACAUUGAUAAAUGAAGCACCAAGUUAUCCCGGGGAUCGGAACAACACAAUCCGUACGGAUUGAUAUCUGAAUACAUCAAUACAACACAGGAAACAGCAACCGUACAACAAAGAUAAGGACGUCAAGUGCCGGACUCUGAGUUUAUCACAUACGUUCCAAUCCACUAAAACUCGCUGCCAGAAAUCUAAAAUGAAAACGGUAUUUGAACACGAAACACAACCUUGCUCAAGCCAAUAAAAAAAAAAACAAGAGCAAGAUCAACAAAUAAAACGGUGAAAAGAGUAGACGUCAGAGUUGGCAACUGCUGAAAACAGUUAAUAUCGUAAAAACCUUCAUACGCAACUUUUCCUUAUAUCGCAAACAGAGCUCAGAGAAAGAUAGCAUUCAAAGUUAAUCCUAACAGCUGCAGAACAUUUAAAGAAACACGCACCACAAAAAAAUUGCAGGGGCAAACGAGGCAGACGUACCAAGACUCAUAUCCAUCUUCUGUUCUGUCGUGCCGACAGAAAAGUCCAUCGCCGCAGGCACAUCGAACUCCGCCAUGAUGAGCCCAGUCACACAAGGCACCGCACGCGACGAAUCUGCGAGGAUAUACCAAGAUAAUGGGUCUAGCUCAGAAGAAAAAAACUCGAGACAGGCGGCAAGUUUGUUCCAACAAAACUAUCACCGCUCGCACAACCCUCGCGCCCUCGCACGACCUUCAAAUCUCUCCCGAUCUAGAUCUUCCUCGCUACUGAAGCAACGCACAAUCCACCGUAAACUUUCCUCCGGAGUAAAGUGGACAGCGCUAACGCGAUCACCACUAGAAAGGAACGAUGGCGUGGCCGUGACGCGGAGGCAAAGGUAGAAGCGGCGACGAGGGGGAGCACUGGCAUCUGGUCUAGGUCUGGCCUCCCCUUCCGUCUCCCCCACCUCCCACCACUCGAUACCCGGACAUCUUGCCGAGUUCCUGACAUCAUACAUUGUUCCCACGUUCCCACUUCGACUUAAAGUAGUUCCCGCCUACCGAUAAGUUCAGAUUCGAGGUGCCGAUAUAGGUUUAUUUUGAUGUCCCAGGUCUCAGGUCCCAUCUGAAGUGGUUCUUUCUCCACUACAGCCCACAAUCCAACAGGGUUUACAUAAAAAAGAGAUGAAUGUGAAGUAGUAUUAUUAGUGCUGGCUUUUAUAUCUUUGGAUAGAUAUGAAUUAUAUAGGUUGAUGAGUCAAGGUAGACGACCCAUUUUUGAUAACUUAAGCAUUUCAGCAUAUUUGCAAUAAGUAUAAAAAUAGAAAUAAAAUAAUCCCAUUUUGGAAAAUAGAAAUCACAAGGAUUCCAAUUGUCUUCACACAAUUUGGUUCAAAAACAGAAUUUACAUAAAUUUUUAGCUGAAAAUUCUCUUCAAUCCAUUUUUGACAUUUAGGCCAACCUAAUUCUGACCAAUGAUGGGUUACAAAAUUGAGAAGUGUGGCACCUAAUUAUGUUUUUAUUCCACCCCAACCAAUCAACAACUGCCACUUAUAUCAAUAGUUUAUGCAUCCCCAUUCCAAAUACAAUGAAUUUUAUUUUGUACUCAUAGCUUCAUAUCUUUUUAACCAACCCCUGAUCUAUUUCCAACCAAAGGAUGUCAGACCUAGUCAACAAUAGGUUACUGCACUCACAAAAAUAUCCCACCCAAUAUGUCAAAAAUGAAGGGAUGGUUGACAAUGGAUCAACUACCUUAGAUAACAAAAGUUUAAACUCCUUACAAUCUAUGUAUCUGCAUGUAAAUAUUAUAUAUAUAUGUAUACUUGCAAAUGAGUGUGAGUAUGUGUGUGUGGUGGGAUACAAUCCAUUAUAGUUAGUCAAUCUAUAAUCACAAAGAUUCUUCUUAUCAUUGUUGUAUAAGAUUGUUCCACAACUAUCUAUAUAUAUAUAUAUAUAUAUAUUUUAAUUUUAUAGAUUACAUCAUGAUUUUAAAAUAACCAUGAUUUGAGAAGCUAUAUUACCUUCAUGAAAUGUGUAUGGAUGUUUGGCCUACUAUUAUGUAUAAUAAUUCUUCAAAGAAGUUCAAAACAAAAUUACAUAAAAUUAGACUUAGCAUGCAAAAAAUAAUAAUUGUAUGAAUCAUAUGAAUCAUGAAUUUGAUGAAUAAAGCUCUUACUUGAAAUAGACUUUUAAUAAAUACAAUUACUAGUGUAAAAUAGAAUGGUCAUAAUUUUUGUAUGGACACACUUUAUUUUGACUUUGGACAAGAUGUACUAGUGAGAAAAUUCUCACAUAUUUCAAGUAGUUCUGUGAAAUGCAUAAAUGGUGUGAAACAUUAAAAUGUAUGAGAUAUAAAAUAAAGAAUUGUAUCAUUUUGAUCUACAACUUAUUCUAAUGUGUAUUACUUGUAUGUUUAUAUAUUUUUAAAAUCAUUCUUUUAUACCAUAUUAUAUAAAGAGAGUAUUGCUAAUCUCACCACAAUUUUUGUUAUUGCCACCUCAAUCCAUCAUCCACCCACUCAACAUCUUUCUCUAGUUUAUAUUCCAAUCAAAACAUUUGUUCAAUCACCCAAACAAAAGUGGGAGUUGUGGUGGUAGUAGGAUAAAAUGUGAAGAAACUAGCAAUGCUAACUAUGUAUAUAUAUAUAUAUAUAUAUAUAUUUACUCAACUACCUAUACAUCUAAAUAUGAACCAACAACAAUCUUUGAUGUAUGGACAUGCAUAUGGAUAACAUUGAAAAGGUACAAAUACUGUGAGAUUGUGAGGUAGAAUUAAUAAACUUACCAUCAAUGAAAAACAUAACAUUUGAAUCAACAGCAUUCUUUAAAUUCAGGUAAAUACUGACUAAAUGUAGUGCUUUACUAUCAGCAAGAUAGUGGGUCCAAUGGUAAAACUUGUAGACCUUUGCCAGUUCUUUGAAGCACUUUUAUUUUCUUUCUUUAUUUAUUUAUUUAUUUUUCAUGAAUCUGAAAGCCAAUUUCACUUAUGAAGUGAUACGCAAGCGUUUAAAGAAUGAAAGCUAUAUCUAUUUUCCAUGCUACCGUUCUACAAAACAGAACAAUGCAAACGCAUGUGAAAUGCAAACUCCAGUGAAAACGAACCCCGGUAUACAUGAUUUCGAAAAUGCUGCGAAGGAUCUGCAAUUUGGAGGGAAGACCAACGAAAACUACGAGACUUUUGCAAGAUGUGAAUACAGUAGCAUGGUAUAAGGUCUUGGACCUGCAUGUAAUAAUUUGUUGUCGUCAUAAACAGUUUCAGUUUUGAAGCAAUAGUCCAUUUCGGAUAAGGGAAUGGAACAAUUCCCUCUACUUCGAAAGUAUCAUAUUGUUUGUCUCUUCAAAAUUGGUAUUUUUGCAGAUAUGAUUCUAUUUUCCAAACUUCGGAACAAGACGUACGUAAAAGAUUAGAGAGACUGUUUGAGGUUUAUGUACUUAUCACGUGGUGCAAUAUUGUGAUAGUACCAUGCUUGAAGUUCAGGUACCCAAUUCCCUAGUAAGCAACGUCCUAAGUUUAUUGAUGAAUAUCUAACAGGUAUCUUCGAAUGUGCAAACAAAACACAUUGAUUUAUAAAUGCCAUAUAGCAACCAUUGGUUACAUUCUGCUACAACAUUUAUUAUCAAAGAAUAAAGUACAAGUUAUGAUUGAAGGGGCCAGGCCUUAAGUCCAUCGUGUGUGCACUAUGAGCUCUUCCAACAGUAGUUAAGUAAAUAAGUCCCUUCCGAUAGCGGGGUUGAGACGUACUGGAGAUAUACUCAAGAAAUAGCCACGGCUUACAAGAGCAGCAAGAAAUUCACUGAGGGAAUAUCGAUGUUCUAUGCCUUCCAAGGUAGCGGGCACAGGAAUGAAUCAAAAAGAGUAAUGUACAAACAAAUAAUGUGCGGAAACCCACUAUCAUCUAAUAAUGAGGGCAGACGUUCCUGUACUAAGUAAGAUAUUCACUGUGUCACCGACGUGUUAGAGGGCUAUUGAAAAACUGCUGAGAGAAUGAACCGGGGUUCGUUUUCACUGGAGUUUGCAAGGUCCGCAACUCACUAAGCCGUCGCUUCUCGCCAGAUAUUCUCGUCUGCGUUAUCGAUUUAACAUUUCAUCAGUGGAUGAAAUCAGAAGAUGCUAUAACAAGACUAAGUCUUGAAACUAAGUUCACAGGACUCAAAUCAAAAGCGAAGAGCCAGGAAACUCUGGCACAUACCUUGAAUUUGAAUUCGGAUACUUCCUCUUCUGCAGUUCGUAGACGUGAUUCCAAUUCUCGGAGUGCUUCCAUGGCGGCAGACUGAUCGGCUUGACGCACAGAAUUAGCAUUACCUGCAGCCUGUUCGUGUCCGGCAUACAAAAAACUCAAGAAUUAGAACUUGCCAACUGCGACAGAUUGCCAGAUAUUUAGAAUAAUGGUGGACAGGCAACAGAGAAAUGAUCUUGUACCUGCUGAAUCGCAUUGCAUAGGGUGAUGAAUUGCUGGGCAAGCUGGAUCUUGCUCUCCUCUGCUUCCUGUUGGGAGUAUCGUCAAGGUUACCGUCAGUUGAUUUACUAGAAUCAGGAGGAUCAGUUACAAUCUUGAAUAUGGAAGAGCUUAUAUUUUGUUUGGACUUUGUAGCUUGCAUGGAAACUAAUUAACAGAUACAACAGCGAUGGUAACUUUUGGACGGCGCAAUACCUGUAAUUUGCUACGGAGACGCUGCUCUUCAUCAAUGUUUGGAAAGGGAGUUUUCCCUGCAGCUAUCCUGUAUCGCUCAAGCUCAUCCUUAACUCUAGCAAACAUCAGUUCGGAGCGUCUCAUCUUGGUGCUUAGAUCCUCAACUUGUAACCUGAGAGAGUUGUUCUCGUCCUGUAAAAACGGGCACUGUCAGUUUACAUCAAGUUGAUAAAACCCACUUAUGGGAUGGUAGCACCCUCAGCGCAGCAUAUAACCACUUCAAGUUCAGCACAAGCCGCACCUUGAUCUUAGCAUGGUGAUGAAUCCGUUGCUGGAGAUUCUGUUGCCCUGACAGCUUUUUAACUUCCUGCUCCAAUUCUCCUAUCCUUUUCUGGAGUCCGGCAGUUUGUGUCUGCGUCGACGAGAGAUUUAGCAAAACAUUGGUCGGCACAUACAAGAGAGUAUUGACGAGUAGUAGAAACAACAAGAUAAGUUGAUACCUUGAGCUUAUCGUUCUCUGCUGUGAGCGUCUCAUCACGGAAACGCAUUUUUUCGGCAGUGACGCGGGCAGCUACCAUUUCAGCCUGCUUUCUUUGAAUUUCCUCUAGCCAACUGUAAAUGCAGCGAAAUUGAAAAUCAGUCUCAUAUGUAUGAAGAACGAAGUUACGGGAGAAUAUACGUACUGAAUUUGACAACAGACUAGCGCCAAGGUUAUUGUCGGUGUACAAAAAGAGCAGAAAGAACAUAAAAAGUUAAUGGACGGCACCUGUCUCUCUCCUCAAUGAGCUCAUUCAGAUUAUUCCGCAAUUUUUCCAGCUCGGCGUCUUGGACAAUAUUCUGUGCAUGCGAGGUAUGCGGAAGGUCAGAAUUCGGUUACGGAACUGUACUACUAGACACAUGAGAUAUUCAAUUGCAUGGACUGGAAUGUAACGUACAGGUCCCUGGUUUUCGAUGCUUUGCCGUCUCACAGUGGCUACGAUCUCCUUAACUUGUGGAUGAUCUAACUGCCGACACAGUACAAAGAAAAUUAGAAAAUUAGAAAAUUCACGAUGCGUAAUCGACAUCAGCGCCAGCUACAGCGAUGUACACGUUUCUGGGAGAUUACCUUGAUAUUCUGGACAUCCAAGUUGGUUCGGACCAAUUCACGAACCACGUCGUGCAUUUCGCUUUCCAACUCGGCAAUUUUAGCAUUCAGAGCGUACACCUGCAUCAAGAUAUCCCAGGUUGAGGAAAGGAAAAAAAAAAAAAAAAAAAAAAAAAACUAUUUUGUUGGUCUUCCAAGAAACUCCUAACUGAUUCCGACAAUAGAUCGGAAAUGAUGUUACAUACUUCCUUCAGACGCCCAGCAGCGAGAGAUUCAAGCUCCUCAAUUCGGCAUCUGGCGGCAUUGUCUGCAUUCCUGUAGUCCAUGGAUGUGGCCAUGCUGGGUGUUCUAGUAAGAGACUUGAUUGCACCGUUUUCCAUCGGUGCCUCGGGUCCUUUCGCCUGUUUGAGAAAAAUAGAACUGUUGUUAGAGCUAGAUCACAUCACAAAUUCUUGGCAUGGUACUCGAUACGAAUGCAACAGAAGAAGAUCUUCUAAAACAAAGUUAGAUAAGACACCUUCAGCUGACUUCCAGUGGUCAGCUUAGCCAGUGUAAGUUGGUUAAUGUGGACAUUAAGUGCCUUGAUCUGCGAACAGGUUGCCACCAUUCUCGAGUGGUCAGGACACGUGAAGGGAACACAAAUUGUUACCAACUGUAAAUCCUGAGGACUGGGAAAGAUCCUGUGGUGAGCAUUAAAAGAAAAUUGAAGACGUCAGAGACAUACCUGCUUGUCCUUUUCGUUACACUGCGAUUGCAAAACUUCUCGUCUUUGAUGCGCCAUCGCAAGCUCCGCUUCCAUGAGUUUCAGUUUCCUUCACAAUCGGGGGACACAAAAUAAUAUUUUUCAGGAUGGCGGAAUAAAAGAACAUGUGCAGUCACGUAGUUAAAACGAACGAGCAAUGAGACAAACCCAAAUGUCUGAAGCCAAGCCACACCUUUCCAGAGACUGCUUGGCAUGUUCUGCUUGUGCAGGUAGCGAGGAACCUUGCAGCCUCGACGACCUGAGUUCUUUCUCGACCUUCUCUCGCAGUUGGCUCUGGUCCUCUACUCUUUUCUCAAGAACUUUGACCUGUAGAAAAAUCAAUGACAGCCACCAGUUAGCAAGCGUUAUGAAGACUAGUAAAUAAACAAAAAACCUUAAAAAAGAAGAGAUCAGAAUCUAACUUGUUGUUGGAGUGAAGAAAUUCUGCUUUUCAACUGUUCCUCUGAGGCCAUCGUCUCCUCAGACCUGGUCUUGUUCAUCUGUGCGAACUGCACUCAGCGGCAGGAGGAAGUCAUAUGGUACAUAAGUCACUAGUACAUAUGGUAUAUUUUCCGUGGAUAUCAAAGCAAACUCAGAGAAUAUUUGCUAAACACAGACUGAUCACGGCAUACUGUGACAUGAAUGAUUAUGUCUUAACACUUGUCUGAAACGACGUGAAGGCAAGUCGGGCAACUAUACAAUGAGAAAGAAAGAGAAAGAAAGGCAGCUAUAAAGGAGGAGAGGGAAGAAGCAGAAGCAGCAGUAGUUACCUGGCGAGCAUCAGAAAGGACUGCCUCCUUCUCAGCUAUGAUUGAUUUGGCACUUUCCAGCUCGGACUUCAAAGACAAUAUUACGGAUUCUUCUUCCUUUACUAGUGCAUCACGUGCCGCGAGCUCAGAUUCCAACUCUUGGAGUUUAAUAAUCAUAUUGGCGUUCUCUACAGCAGCCUCUGAUGCAAUUGCGUACGUAGCAAUAUUAUCCUUCUCAAUGCUUGCCACUGUUUGAAGCUUUGCAGCAAGUUGCGCCUCCAGUGAGGCAGUCUGAACUCUUAGCAUUUCAAGUUCACCACUCUUCGAAUCCAACUCCUUCUGCAGUUGAGAUAUAAUCUUCGCCGCAGCCUCUGCCUCGGCAGUUCCUGACUCUUCCAAGAGGUUGAUAUCGAAUUCAAGCCCUUUAAUUAGUUCCUCUUUCUGUGUAACCUGCCUUUGAAGAAUGUCCACAUGUGAUCGCAACUGAUCUACAUUGGAGAGGGCUAAUUUCGCAGCCUGGGCUUCCCGUUGGUUAACGUCGAGCUCCAUGUCGAGCUGUACCAGACGGUCUUGCGUUUCUUUGAGUUUUGACUCUAAUGUGGACAAGGAAGCAUCCCUCUCACUAACCGCUGCUAGAAGUUGGGACACAGCAGCCUCAGACAUCUCAAGCUCAGUCCUAGUGUUCUCAAGAUCUGUUUCAUAUGUAUUUUGUGCUAGAAGACCUUCCAAUUCUUCGACCUUCCGAUUCAGACACGCUAUUUCAGCUCUACAAGAUUCGAUGACAGACUUGACCUCUUCCUGAGUUUGAACGACUGGAAACUCAAAGAAGCUGUUGCUUAUAUCAGCUCUAAGUGAUUCCAUGUCCAAGGCCAGUGAUCCCAUCUCGUUUUCGCAGUGAUUCUUAGUAAAAUCAACUUCCUCUUUCACUAAGGCAAAGGCAGCGAUACUUUCUAUCGAGAGGUUCAUGGACUGAACUUCUUCUUGAGGCUCGGGUUCAGAAGAUUUGACCGGAGAGGAACAGUUGGUUUGAUUGGAUAUCUUUCCGAUGCAGGUAUUCGCCUCGGACUCGGCUAGGGCGACAUCACUGACACAAUUGAGUUGGUCAGUGAACUCACCCUCUACCUCGUAGGCCACAGCCUGAUCAUGGUCCCUCUCGCGCUCUAGCUGAUCUCUCUCUGCUCUCCAUUGAGACUCAGAGUCGGUUACCCUCGCCACUAACGUCUCCAGCUCGAGCUCGAAAGCCUCUACUUGAUUCCUGCGCAUCACAACCUCCUCCUGAGCAUCAUGGAUCUCCUCUUCCAACUCAGAUAUUCUUGUUAUUGCGUCUUCUUUUUCUCUGAUCGUCUUCUCCAUUUCAAUCUCGGUCUCCUUGUAAUGGACCAUAGCCUCCUCCAGUUGCAGUUUAACGGACAAAAUCGUGUUGUCCCUGUCUCGGAGUUUAGACCGUAGUUUUUCACAGUCGGCGCUGGUUCUAUUUAGCAACUGCUUGAGCUCGUCCACGUAGUGGUCUUUCCCAGCUUCUGGGUUCCCAAUUAUAGAGCUGUCCUGGUCCAAGGCGGUUUGAGCAGGGUUCUCCAGUCGGGAAAUCUCUAAUUGCAGCAAUUCCUUGUCAGCAUUCAACCUGGAUCUUUCUCCUUCCCACUCAUUAGUUAUUGUUGCAUUAGCGUCCACCAACAAUUUGAUCUUCUCCUCUGCGCCAGCCAAUGCGGCCCGAGCUUUCGCUAAUUCGACUUCGUCUGCGUCGGAAGAAACAUCCUUCACUGCCCUAGUGAUUGAGUCGACCUUCUCAGAGCGAGUUUUUGAUGGGACGGUUAGAGCGUCAUCUCUUUCACCUACAACAACUAGGAGGCUGGCAUGAAGAGCUUCUUUCUCUUCUAGUACAGCCAAACACCGAGCUUGUUCCUGCUCCAAGUUCGCUUUAAUUAUCUCUAAGUCAGUUGCAAGCCUAUCUCUCUCAUUCCUCAAGCUCUGUUCUGAGACUGAGAAUUCAUGCAUCACUACUGUCAGGGCAUCCAACUUCUCUUGAACCUGCAAACGGUUAGCUCCUGCUUCCUCCAAUCGAAUCUGAAGGAGACGAAAUUCUGCCUCCAUAUCAGCUUUGGACUUGUUCAAAUGAUCAAUUGUCUCGGUCAUUUUAGCAAUGUUCUCCUCAUCCGUCUGAAUUCUAGAAUUCGCAGCAGCCAGUUCUUCGCAAAAGGUUCGGGACUCUAUCGUUAGUGCAGAGUUGACUUGAGAUGCAUUCAUCAAGUCAAACUGCACUCGUUCGAGGUCCUUCCGAGCAAUUUCCAGGUUCUCUUCCCUGUCGGUCAGUUGCAAGAGCAGAUCUGCGACCUUAACUUCGAUAGAUUGAACUUCAGCCUCCAAAUCCUGCUUGGCUGAACUCAAACCAUCUAUUUCCGCCUGCAUGGAAGUGAUUCUGUCGUCUGUCUCAAUACACGUCGCCUGGACAAGCUGUAGUCUCUCGCUGAUGGCUGAUUGCAUGUUUUUGGUGGAGACGUUCAAAUUCAGACUAUCUCGUUCUCUCUUGAGUUCCAGGACCUCAGAUUGAAGCUGGAGCACGUCUUCAUCACUCAUACUCCUGGAGGUAUACAACUCUUCAAUUUCCAUGAUCAAAGAUUGCUCUUUGACUUCGUAUUCGACGAUUCUCUCCUCGAUAACCGCGAUCUUCUCCUUCAUGGCGGAUUGUGCCUCCUCUGCUUCACACAACCUAGAGGCUGCCACAUGUGCAUCCUGCGUCAUAGUAUCAAUACGGGAUUGAAGAACAUCCUUCUCUUCAGCAAGUUUCUGCAAGGCCGCAUCUGCCAGCUCAACACGAGCCUGGGAUUCUUGAAGAAGUGACUCCAUUGUAACCAAAUCAGUUUGAAGGGUUUGCUUCUCUGCUGAAAGUUGUUCUAGAGCCGCGUCUAACUGAAUAAUACGAGUAUGGGCCUCCUGAAGAACUAAUGCUUGAGAUUCUAAUUCGAUUCGCAUAGCCUCUUUCUCCUCUGCAAGUUUCUCUGAUGCUUUGUCUGAUUGCGUGACGCUAAUGCGGGAUUCUUCGAGAGAAGAUUCUGUAGUCUUCAACUGUGUUUGAAGCGUGUCCAAUUCUUGACGAAGGCGGGCCAGCUCUGCAUUGUUUUCAUCAGACGUAGUGGACAAUUUAUUCACUCUUUCGUUAAGCUCAACGAUUUCCUUUUCUUUCUCCUCGCUGAGUGAUUUGGAUGUUUUAACUGACUCGGAGAGCUGUUUCUCGACUCCUGCCAGAGAUCUCUCCUUAGCUUCGUUCUCGUCUUGCAAAGUUUUAAGCUUUCUUUCCAGCUCGACAACCUCAUCAUCCUUUUUCUGGAUGCUCAUGCAAGACAUGCGCUCGGUCUCCUGUUUCAGCGAGGCAAUAUUCUCGUCCUUCUCCUUGAUUAGAGUAUCUGAGGCUUCAACUGUGUGUAGAAGCUUGGACUCAAUUUCUUGCAGAAGCACUUGCUUCGUAUGCAGUUCUGCUUGGAGAUUCAGAAUUUCCUUUUUGCUCUCACAUAGCUCUUCCUCCUUCUUGACGCUCAAACUAGAGAGUGCUUCUCUUUGUUCAGCAAGGUCAGCGAUUUGUAGAACUCUCUCCUGAUUAGUUGCCUCUAAAGCCCUCAAUGACUCGAGAUGUUCACUUUCUGCCUGCUUCAUCAAGGCCUCCUUCUGUUGUAAUUCAGAUUUUAGCUGCUCUAGCUCCACUUCGUGGGAGCCAAGCUUUUCUUCAUUUGAAAUACUCAUGCACGAUAUCUUCUCGUAGUCCUCACGAAGAGCCGCUAUUUCAGCGAUCCUCUCGACAAGCUGCUAAGACGAACAACAGCACACAGAUUAAACUCCUAACCGGCAGUUAUGGAAUUAUCAUACCCACUCCAGAGGAAGUUAACCUACCUCGCUGCUCAGCUUAUCCGACCGGUCCUGCGACUCAACCAACUUCAAUCUGAUAGAACUAAUAUCAGCUUCAAGAUUCAGUUUCUCUUUCUCCAAGCUGGUGAAGGCGCUUUGAAGGAUCAUCUUCUCUGUUUCCCACUCUUCUUUAAUGACUGCAAGGCUCGCUUGCGCUGUAGUGGCUUCACCUAGUUUGUCCUCAGCCUCCUUUAACUUAGCCAAUGUCACUUUUAGCUCUUCCUCAAGGAUAUUCAUAGCUGAGGAGGAAUCAGACGCUUCGUUCUCAGCCUUCGUUGCCAGUAGCAUGAGCUGUUCCUUCUCACUAGCAACUGCUUCUAAAGCCGACUGAAGCCUGGACAUCUCGCCUUCUAGAGAUGAUACAGUUUUGUCCCUCACAUCAACAAGUUUCUCGGAUUGCUCUAGAGUAUUGGACAGUUGAGCGACUUUUCCUUCGGAUUCUCUCAGUAAAGACUGAUCCAGCUCCUGAGCUUGACGUAAUUGCAAGAGCAACAUCUCUUUAUCUUUAAUAACAAGUUCCAUUUCCUUGAGUUCUGUUCGGGCAAUUCUUCCUGACAAAUCCUUGGCUUCCAUUGAUUUCACAAGCCAGAGAAUAAGAACAGACAUCACCAUGGCGUUCUUCUCAAACUGGAGUAACUUUGACCUGGAAGAAUCCAGCUCACCCUGCAGAACCUCCAUAGCUUCAACAGCUUGCAUACUAAGCCGAUGAACCUUCUGAGGGGUUUCUUGAGCCUGAGCUGUAGCCAUAGCAAAGGCCGUUUCACUCAGCACUCUUACUCUGCCCUCGGCGUCCUUGGCUAGUUCUUGAGCAUGCUGCAACUGUAAUUUAAGUUGAUCAACAGCUUUCUUUUUUUCAAUAUUCCUGGAGUGCGUCAUGCUAUCCCGGCUGGACCUAGCUGAGGGAGGUAAGUAGUCGUUAAAAAUCUGCUCCAUUUCAAAGGAAGCUUCAUUUAGAGCUUGAUCUCCUUCAGCAAGAUAAUCUAUGAGCUUCACAGUGGCACCCUGCCAUUCCUUACGCAGGGCUUCAAUCUCAAUGUCUUUGACUUUCAGCAUAGACUCGUAGUUCUCCAUUACCAGUUGCUUCUCACCUUUGACGUCACUCAGCAUCAUCCUCAUACUGUCGAGCUGAGCUGUGAGCCCUGUCACCGACUUUCUUGCAGAAGCGAGCUCCAUAUUUGUUUGCUCAGCUUCAGCUCUUAAGACCCAAAGUUCUUCUUGCAUGGAUGUGAUGGUUUGGGCAGUCUCAGAUUCUGCCUGACACCGGGUCAAGUCUCUGUCACACUCUUCUACCUUGAGCUUGAGAUUUUCUGCAUGGGCAAUUCCUAGCUCUUUCUUCGCAUUCUCGAGUUUCUGCUCUAGAAUCAACCUCUUUUCUUCAGCAGCCUCGCUUCUCUCCUCCAGUUCAGCAUACUCAUGUUCAAGUUCACGAAUCUCCUGGACUUUCGUCAAUUCAUUUUCUAAGCGAUCUAUUUUCUUCCUUAGAAUACGUUCUCUCUCCUCCCUCCUCUUCAACCUCGACACAACUUUGGUGUAUUCGGAUUGCAGUACAUCGAACUCCUGGAUAGUGUAGAUAUGCUGGGUCUCCAGGGCUUCCACCAGGGACCUCUCCUGAUCAGGGAGCUCCCUCGGACGAGAAACGGUGUCGAAGGAAGUUAUCUCUCUCACCGCAGCUGCGGCCUUCAAACUGGAGACCAUCUCUUCAGACUCUUGCAACUGCUGCGUGAGCUUGGCGAUCUUCUCCUCCAGUUCCGGGCGAUGGGAGCUCUCCUCGUCUAAGGUAGCAAGCCUCUCCUCCAGAUCCUUUUUAUGGGUCCGUUCUUCGUCAAGGACUGCCUCGAGGGACUCAAGCUCCAACUGUAAUUGCAUCACUUCUUCGGCAUGUCGCAUCUCGAUUUCCUGGGCUUUCUGGAGUCGUUCUGCUGAGCCAUCUUCAGUUCGAACACUGUUUAAAGCAUUGCUAGAGUCAUUCUGGACAGAGACCCCGCAAGAUUUCCGCUGUUCUUCAUUAACCGAAAGCUUCUGAAUCAUCAUCAUCGCGUCGUCGAGUUGAGAUCUAAGUUCGAUCUCCUUCAUGCGAAACAUGACAGCCAUUUCUUGAAUAUUUGUCAAUGAUUGGCUUUGUUGCACUGCCAUUUCCUCCGUCUCCAGCCUUAUUUGCUUUACAGCUGCUGCAUACUGGUGCACCAAACAACGUCAUCAGUAAAUAUUUGAACCCAUUUGACACGCUUCGCUGUCGGAUGUGUUUACUUUCUCAAAGGAUUUGGAUCACGUUAUCCUAGAAGUACCUGGGCACCCACAAGAGCCGCUUCUUUACUUUGAAGUUUCUUGGUAAGGACCCGGGCAGCUUCAAACGCCUCCUUCAUAGCCUGUAAAACAAAAUGGUAUUUCAACCCGCAACUUGAGGCUCAUCAAGAGAUUAGAGAGUAUAAGAAAUACGUGAGACAUAUCAACCCAGGAAUUAUCAAGAUUGGAAAGAAGGUUUAGCACCUCAAGCUCUGACUUUAGAUUUCUGGACUCUUGCAUCGAGUCCUGCAACUGAUGCUCAAGCCGCUCAAGCGUACUCUCCUGCAUUUUGGUCUUCUCUUCAGUCUGAAUAUGCAUUAAAACAUCGCAAAAGGUUAAUAUCGAAGGCUUAGACAGUUGAUGCGAAAUGAAUAAAUAUGUAAGACGGUGAGUGAAUGCGUACUUGUUCCAAUUGAAGCUUCAUGUCAGCAAUCAACUCAAGGUGUUUAAGAUUCUCCAACUCAAGAGCUUUCAUGUUGGGCACUUCUGCACUAUCAGUCUUGGAAGCAAGUUCUGACUUCAGCUUCUCAACAAGCUCUUGUAGUUCAUCCACUUGCCUGGAACACAUGAGGACACAGCGUGCAUAUCAGCAUCAGGUACACCAAGUGACACACAUACAAUUCAAGUAGGCUAAAGGAUUUGGACAACAAAGUCUCCGGAAGAUGCUUUACCUUCCCAUCUUGGAGUAACUCUCCAGAGAAGAACUUAAGUUGCUCCGGAGUUCCUCCACUUCAGAUCGAUAAUUGUCAGCCUGCAGAAAGAACAAAGACGUGCGUAAGAACAAAAGAGCGUAGUGUACAAACCGAUACCUGACAGCGAAGGCGAGGGAAAUUCCCAUGGAUUCAUGAAAGAUGACAGAUUUAUACCUCAAUUCGUAGAAGCUCGUUCUCACGAACGGUUGCAGCAAGCUCUGGUGCAAGAGCUUUUUUCUGGGAAGCGAAAGAGAGAUAUGAGUUAGUUCGCCGCUUGUUUAACAGGUCAAGAUAUCGCAAGGACUUGGACAAAAUUGUUAGUUCAAAAAAGUUAGGGAAAAAACAGACCUGAGGAGUGGUGAGAGGGACCAGUCCUUGGUCCACAGCAAUCUUCCCAUCGAGCACCUCUAGAAGUUGGUCUCGGAGGUUAGAAAUUUCCUCCAACAUAAUCUCUUUCUCUCCACCUUCGUGGAACUCCUGUAAGCUGCAUACACAAGGGUAGAAGAAUUAUGAGUUUCGAUGAAUUCCAAGUCGGGCCACAGGCUCAAGCUGAGAAUGGAACAUUCUCUUGUAUAGUCAAAAAACACAAGAUUACCUGUGAAAUUGGUCUAGAAGACGGAUGUUCUCCAUGGCGAAUCUAGUCAGCUCAGGAUUGCGAUCCACCUUCUCCCGCAUCAGUUGAAGCUCUUCCAUCAACAUUUUUCCCUCCUCCGCAAGGUAUGAGUCCACGGAGAGUAACCCCUGUGACAGAGUCUCAAGUCUGCGAAUUUUGUCCUCCCUAAAUCGUAAAAUCAUUUUGCUACUCUGCGUAUCGGCCUCUCUCUGAUGCACCAGCCGGUUGAGUUGUUCAAUUUCCGCUGCCAAGCGUUUCGUGGUAACAUCAGCUGCUUGCUCACGCCGCAAGGCCCCGGCAACAACAGCUUCCAUCUGUCUUAACUGGAUGGAAGAAUCCGAAUGUAUUUAGUAUGUAAAACAUACAGAUUCGAAAGUGUUAAAACAUCAAUUAAGACCUUAAAAACUGUGAUCCUUUGUACCUUUCUGCUGGAUACUUGCGGGCUGCCAAAAAAUCGGUGAGCAUCUCCCCAGGAGUCAAAUGAGCUUCGAACAGGGUUGAAGUCAUCUUGUGAAAGAGGAACCCUUGAAAUACUUUGACGACGGAGACGAUCCAAUUCUUCCUGAAGUACAAGUCGUCAAAGAUCAGUCACAGAUGACACAGUCAGAAUUGGGCAUAUCUGGGCAACAUAUGGCACAGCACUGAGGGAGAAGACUAUAUCCAGAGCACCUUCAUCUGUUGAAUCUGAGCACGCAGUGCUUUCACAUCCCCCGAGGCAUCUUCAUUGAUCACAGCCUGUAGUCAAGGCAGGGGUCAUUUCGGGCACAGAAAACGCAUGUUUAAACGAUCAACACAUUUGCCAGAAACAGCGAGGAGUUCAACGGGAGGGAGUUUAAGUUGAGGUGAAAACCGUAUUGCGGAUGAGCUUGGCGCGCUGGGCGAAUUUAAGAGUACUCAAGGUUUCAAGAGCGUUGCUGCAAGUCCAAACAGCAUGUCAGAUGGAAAUCAUGGAUAUUCACUGCGUAGGACAUAGGAGGUGUAUCUUACAUCAAAGGAAUACAGAAUCAUCGACACGUCGCAAUCUGAAACUUGGGAGACUAACCAGCUGGAAGGACUGAUGGUAGCAAUGAUGGUAGUUUUCGAGUUUCCUCCGAGAGAAUCCUGCACAGUGAUACACAUCCAAUUCCCUCAAUAAAAUGCUGGCAAUUCGGCAGACAGCUCGCGAAGACCUAUUCUCAUUGACUCGACUCCACCGGGGCAUGUUGAGGACAAUUAAGGUGACCUUACAUCUGACGAUAUACCAGCGUAAGAUCAUCUAGGAAUAUCUUACCUGGAGAAGGAAAGUGAGCUUCGAAUCUCGAUAAGGAACAUGGCGUUGUUUGCCGUUGGCGACAUCGACUAGAAUCAUGAUGACCAAUCUGCGUAGGAGAUGUGGAGGUGAAUAUUAGCAUCGAGUACCAAGAGAUCAAACAAGGAUGUCGAGCAGUUACAAACGUUCUCAAGUCAGUUCUCCCCUGGCGACACAAUCAUGAAACCUACCCAAGAGUAGAAAGAGAUUUGUUGAUGUUCGCAGCUUCUUUCAGACGUUCACCUUCGGCUCCGGAGGUUUUCUGCCUGGGAACAUGCAUUCCCUACGUGUGAGUGAUUGACGGAACGACUUCAAGCGUGAAGGUAACGCGAAUCAAACUAAUUAUACACCAUCGCAACGUUGACGAGACUUGAAUUGAUUAUAAAAACAUGCUCACCUUUCAGAUCCUGCAAGAUCAACGAGAUUCAGUCUCCCAAAUCGGAUGUUGGUCAUUGAAUCGCGUUCCCAUCUGCUUUCGAUGAUGCAUGUGAAUACGCUGUGAGAGCGGCUGGACUCUCUGUUCAUGUUCGUAGCUGCCACUUUCCUAUUGGCCGAUCCCUGUAAACCGCCAACGAUGGUCAUCAUAGUCACCACUUGCAUUGUGCCCAAGAAGGCAUUCAUCACACUGUCAACAGAUCAAGACAGCAAGAUUUCCGAGGGAGGUAGCAGGACUCACCUGACAAAGCAAUUGAAUGACGUCUUGAACACAGUGGACUUCGACUUCUGUCAAAUUCUCCACAUAGACUCCUUUCCGUACAUCCUCUCGCAUCUGCAUGAGAGCACCGAAAUGUUGUAUUCAGAGCAAUUCCACGCCACCAAUUACAAUGACAUCACGGAUCAGACAGGUUGCGGAAUCUGUACCUGCAAGUUUGUGGACGUAGGUUCCAGCAAAUCAGUAAUUUGCUCAUUGUAUAUUUCAAGGAAGGAGCAUUUGGUCAUAAAUUUCAGGUUCUCGUCCUUGCGCUGUUCCUCUUCCUGCGGAGCCAAUCGAUUACAAAUUCAAAUCUAAGUACCUCACACGAUCCACACGCGAAUUGCAAUUUUAACUUUUCCAGUUAUUCCACACCCCACAUUCAGGAGUUCGCCCAUGGGAAAACAGAAUUGACGGUGCAGUGAAAAUUCAAUGUAUCCACAAGGAUGUAUACCAAUUUAAUCCUUGAGAAGAGGUACUCGAAAACACGCGGAGUCAUGCCCCUAUUAUCACUUGGUCUAUCGCUGAUAUGGUCAAUGUCUCCAAGCAUAGUAUGCGUCUUACCACUUCCAGUCUGACAAAAUCAUAACAGCUACCAAUCAGCUCAUAGCCAUACGACAAGACGUUAUGAUACCAGCGCACAACAGCAGGAAACGAGCAAUCAUUGCCAUGUGAAGCGAUACAAGUCCUUGAGAAAUCUGUGCGAAGUUUCAGAAGGUUGCAGGGUCGACCUGGCCAUAUGCGAACAUGCAGCUAUUGUAACCUGCCAUGCAAUUCUCCACCAUUGGUAAUCCCGCAACAUUGAACAGUUUCUCCUGUAAAUAUUUCAACAUGUAUGUCAGAGCAAUCCGAUGGCAAGUCUUUCCGUAGUUGACACCACUCACCAAAAUGAAAUCAUUCAAAUACAACAAUGGGAAUAGGUUGACGACGUUUGCUUGUUUAGCACAGAAGGGUUGUGAGCAUGCGGACCUGAGUGAUAAUUUCACCAGCCACGUGGUCAAAUGUGAAACGAGUUUCAGGUUGCCCCAACCAGGUGAUUUGGUGAGGACCCUCUUGCCUUAGGCAUUUACUGAAGCCUUGAGAGGCCAUUUCAGAGGCACUGAUGGGGCGAGUUCUGAUUAAGACCUGUGGAAACCAACUUCAACGUGAGGAUUGCGAGAAAGAAAGGUGUAAAGAAAGAGGAUCUCCAGCGCAAUUAAGGAGUUGCAAUGAUUCUCGAAAACAAAGGCUCCCCAUGAAACUGAAAAUACAGUGGCCAAGACUCGCAAGACCGCCUCUAUAAGGCUUGGAGUAAAAGCAGAAUCAAAGUGGGCAACAAAACUACCAGUGACCACCAAACAUUUCAAAUCAUUCACGGCACGCGAAUUGAUAGAAGGGCUUCACACAGUACAAUCAUGUAACAGCUGGGAGGUUUCGUGAAAAAGUGUGAAAAGGAACUGCGUGAUCACCUGCACAUUGUGAUCGUGCCAGAACGUAGGGUCCUCUUCAAGAUCGAAAUGUUGCUCAGCUGUUGUUUGACUGACACUUCUGCCGCCGGAAGGAAGAGGUACGAGCGCACGGGAGGUCGAAGUACCUGCCACUGCAGAUCCUUGGGCACCUCCGUAUUUCAAAGUCCGGGUCACACUCUUGGCAGGAGUGGCGGAAGUGUUCUGACUCGGCACCGGACGAGAGGAUAUUGGCUCACAAUCAGAGCCAUGUUUGUUUCCGCGGUCAGUCACAUUCCUGUACGCACGAGGAGUGUGAGAAUUACCGUUCUCCGCACAAUGUUUAGUGACCCCGUGUAGCUCUGCUUGUCCCUUGCUACAUAGAGGCACUGCAGCGUGAGAUGUCUCACUCAAGGGCAUCUCGAUCCCUGGCUCGGUCGAGCUGCUAUCUAAAGCCCUGGUGACAGAUUGACUUUUUGCAGGAGAUGGAUGACGGAUAUGCGAUUUCUUGAAUUUUCCAUGACCUUGCUUCUCCGGAGUCCCAUUUCCCCCAUCAACGUUCUCCAUCAAGGGGAAUAAGCACUGGCCACUUCUCUUCUUCGCUUUCGGCGUUGUAGCAUCCAUCUUCCCUGAGGGCGUCAGGACAUCGACAAUAUUCUCAUCAGACGACAUGAGAGGGACACGACCACCCUCCGCUAUGGAGCUCAAAGGUUUCCGCGUAGGCGUGAGAUCCCCCGAACUAACAACAUUGGCGUCAAUAUUCUCCUGGGAGGGCUUUCUCGGAGAACCACGCACCAAACUGCGCAAGGGGGACGUUCCCCUUCCCAUCACCACCUUCCUACCGUCCUCCCACUACGCACUACGCAAGCAACACCCUCUCCUUCACGCACCCUCACCUCCAAACCAUCUACAACAAUCCCCGUCUUCAUCUGCCAGUACACCAAGUUACGUCUCUCCAAAAUCUGUCGGAAAACUCUUCCCGCUCUCGACCUCUCUCAACUUCUAAAACUCUACUCCAGCAUGCGGACACUCCCCGUCGACCGUCGCCCGCAGCAGAUCGACUUGGUUUCUGUUUCCGCCUCGUCCUCCACGGCAGCACACUCAGCCCUCACCCGCUACCUACUACGCUACGAUCCCGCUACACAAAAACUCUCCGAGAAACAGAAGCAGCACCCGUUCUUGAACGAGCGGCAAGAACAAAGUCCGAAAGGUGAGCCCAGGCUGUGGCAAAGGCGGGCUGGCGUCAUCUCCGACCGUUGCAAAUUUGAACUAUCAUCUUUUUCGCGGCAGUCUCACGACUGGUCCUCCCCAAAUUUCAAAUUUCGACCGAAAUGUUGUCAGAACAUGCACAUCUCAUCUGGCAUUCAAGACAAAGUCUUUACAGAAAAGCCCUUUACAGUAUAAUCUAGGCUCAUCAGAGACUGAGAUUAUCCUCACUUUCUGAUCAUUUAACACCGCAUAUCUACGUAUUUUCUUAACUGUGGUAACCAGUGAUCGGAUCUAUAUCAAUCUUACUGAAAACGAAGAUAUCAUUGUUAUCUGAGGUAAAUCGUAGUCCCUAUUACUUACAGGUGCACGGUAUUAGUACCUCGACGCGUGUAGUAUAUUGUUAUUGUAGUUGUAUUGCUGGUGGGUCCGGUUAGGUUCUCUGCUUUCUGGAGUCGCUCGACAUUCAUGGGCACGUAUGGGCACGUUUGGGAACGAUUGGGCACGUCAUGGGAUCCUUUUGGUUGAAUGAAGUUUCGUGGAAUCUGCGGCGGGGGCCUUCUUAUCAUCAGAGCAGCAUAUCGGAACCGUCAAAAAAUUGGCAUCGUUCGGUGCUUAAAUCGACUGGAACAUGUCCAUUUCAAACUUCUUCGUAUUAACCCCGUAAACUGAUUAAUAUUGAGAUAAGAACAAAAUAAAUAAGAAAUAAAAAUAAAAAAUAAAAAUCACGAAUUAUUAUUCUUAUUCUGUAUUUGAAUAAGUACAUUGAUUAUAUUGUGAGGUCGGAGACAUCUUUGCACUUAAUUGCCUCCUUAAUGUAUGUGUGUAUGUAUGUAUGUAUACUUGUAUAUGUGUAUAUGUAUAAAAGCCUUUUCUAUAUGAAAAUUAAAGCAAGGGACUUGGUAUUGAAAGCUUGAGAAAAACUAUAGAUUUGUGAUUCAUUUUUAGUUAAAGAGACAGUUUAACAUAAUUCAUUUUUUUUGUGCUGUCAAAAGCCAUGAAUUAUCAGGACAUGUUAUAUAUUUGUUCUAUUAAAAUUGAUAAUCUAAAAAUGAAGGAAAAUAAAUUGAUAAAAAUUGAAGGGCAUAAUAUAAACAUUCUUAUGUAGUACUGAAGCAAAAGAUGCCACUCAAAUUACGAUUUUUUUCAAAAUACAAAUUGAGCUUCCAAUUAAUCAUUUCUACAAAUGUAUUAUUGUCUUAUAUAUCUAUUAAAGUAAGAAAAUUUGUAGUUUUGUAAUUUAAAAUAGGAAUCCUUUCAUUUGUUUUUUUAACAUUGAACAUCAAUUAAUAAACUGUUGGCGGCAUUAAAUGUUUGUUUCAAGUUGUUUUAUGUUACAAUAGAUGAAAUCUAUGUGUACAUUCAUGUAUGCACAUAUAUAUAUAUAUAUAUAUAUAUAUGUUUGUUUGUUCAUCAUCGAAUAGAAUUUUUCAGUACAUAAAUUUUUUACAUGCAACAAAUCUCUUGAAUGUAGUAUUUUUUACUUUCAGUGGAUUCAAAUGUAAAAUAUGAACUAAAAUUGCAUACAUUGAAGAAAAAAAAGAAAAUGCAAGAGUCUUUGUUAUUGGCUAAACUAGGUUUUGAAUUAUUUGGUACAUCCCGAAUCAUGUAAUUGCUGAAGAUUUUGUAACCCAUCUAUCAACACAAAAACAAUGUUACUGUAAUUUGAAUGGGUAGUUUUUCAACAUAAUUGAAAAGUAACAAAUUUGAUGUAGUUUUUUUUUAAAAAAAAAACUGUAACUAAAUGUAUAAUAUACAUAGCAUCACCUUUUUCCUUUUCAUUUUUCAAAGAUUAUAAGAUUUUUUAAAAAGGAUAUCGAGUAAGAAAUUUUCUUCCAAACUAUCAUUUAAUGCAACACUUUUGUACCGAUAUAACACCCCCAUAUCAUACAAAGGCAAAUAAUAUAAUCCUUGCCAAAUACUACGACAGGUAAUGGAACCGAGAAUUAACUUCUACAUUCCAUACAAAAGAAACAAGAAAUAAGAUAAAACCAUGUUCUUCAAAAGAAUUUAUGGUGAGUGCUUGUGCAGGUUUCACUGCUCCAUUCACCUCCUUUAAUGUCUCGUAGUGGGAGUAAGUAUCUUUCAAAACCAUCCAGGUUGAGAUUUUCGUUGACGCAAUUAGAGUUUUUUUAACUAAUCAAGGGAGUCAUACAGUAGUAGGCUUGCUCUACUACUCUUCCUCUCCUUUGCAUUGUCUUCGUAUGGAAUUUAGUCCAUGGCGUUGUGGCAAGCAUCGUCAUCCUCUCGAAUCCUCGACCAGUGUUGGAUCUAGACCUACACGUUGUAUCGUCCCUGUCUCGUGGGAUUUGCUGUUCUGCACGUAGUGUGUCGGGGAGAUUCUCCUUCGAAGUCUCACAAUCAUCCGCUGCCUGCAGGCUGUCUUGUACCUCCUCCCCGAAACCGUCGUCAACAACGUCCAUGUCCAUGAAUCCUGGUUGAUAACCCUUGUUGCUGUGUUGCUCAUCGAAGCAAUCUCCUGGUAGUUUUAUAAUAUUUUCAGAAGUAUAACCUGUUCGAACACUAUGUGUGCUGCCUAAUAGAUGAAUAGCGCAAAAUCGAGGAACAGCUAGGUUUUGUAAGUCACUGGGCAGACGAGCUGCCAAGGGGAUGGGGUUUAGGAAGAAGUCAAUUACGAUGAUCGAUCGUCAUUGUUAGAAGGUGUGAUUAUCUUGACCGAGUGUAUAAGUCAGGGUUCAGAGUCUUGAGUCAACAAGCAUCCAUCGUUUAAUUACCUUCAUCACAGCUGCGGAUAGCCAUUGUGAGGAUUUGAGCUGCUAAUGCCCAGAGGUGAGUUGUGCAGACUUAGACACUCAGAAACUCUACCUCCGCUAAUACCUUCAAAUUUCGAAACAUUUGUCAAUUUACGCUGCUAAUCGGGUCUGGAGGGUAGUAGCCAUGGCCAGCUCCUCGGCAUGCAUCCAUGGAGUGACUUGUGGGAAAAGAAUAUCGAGAUGCGUUGGAAAUUGCUUCACAUGGCGGGUUUCAUGUGAGGUAGCCGCUGCUAUGUCAGCUAGCACAAUUACGAAAAUACAAUUCCCUCAAACCAAUUCUGCUGUCAACUACAAAUUCAAGUUAAGAAGCACUGUUUCUCAAAGUAGCGACACUGUUAAACAGUACAUUAGGUUCCUUAUAAAAUUGUAGAGAUCAAGAACAAAUGUUGCAAGUGUAGCAGUGUUCAGGACACACCAAGUGCUACCGAUGCAGCGACAAGAUUCGUUCAUGUCACGUGUAAUUGGCUAGUAGGUUGCUAACCUAAAGUAGACAUGCAUGUGCGCUGGUUGUCUGAGCACAUGGUUCUAAGGGAGCGUUUCGGUUGUAGAAGGUUUGGUUACAUUGUAAGAACGCUUCUAGAGAUGACAGAGUAGAGCAUUUUUUUAGCGGGUGAGAAUACACUUGAAAAUGUAGGUCGUGGUUGCUGACAGGGAGAUUGAUGAAUGUUUUAGGCUAAAAAGUUCGCAGGGGUUCCGGACUUAAGUACAGUUAUUCACUCAUCUUUGCCGGUUUACUGUUUCUAGUAAGCGCCGGUUUUUUGAGUGGUGAGGUGUGUUCUCUCUUCUAACGUAACGUUUACAAAAACGGAUACGACUGAAUUUUCUUCCGGUGAGGGAGUAGUUCUAAGGACGGUUGAUGACACAGAAUACUGACAUCGGUUGAAUGUGACACAUGCAAUUCGGGGACUGGCUAAUUUCAUCUGCUUGCUCCAUUGGAUGACACAGUCUACACGAUCCUCACAGUCAGUAUUAAUGCUGCUUACGCAAGAGUAGUGUGCCUACGUCAGCGUCGAACCUGACAGCGCGCUUUUAAGAUUUCCGUCCUGAGUUAAUUCGCUUCCAGAAAAGAGAGAGCAUUGGAUAUAGGCCCAAUUCACAUUUAGAUUGUGAUGAAUGGAAUUAUUAGAUAUAGCUAGUUUAGCUAAUUUUUAUCCCCUCACGAAGGUAUCGUUCAAAUCCUCUUCGAUGCAGACAAACCACAUAUGCAACGAAUGUGAGGUCAAAUCGUACAUUUACAUAACUCGAUUCAAUUACGACAAGAUCGAAGUCUGGUAAAUUUGUUCUUAAAUCCACGCAAUGGCAGCUAUGGGAGAAGUGACACGAAAUAAUCGAUAGACAAUCAUAAGGACAUUGCCCUGAACAGAUUUUGAUCGAGAGAGACGCAAUGAGUGCAUAAUUGGAUCAAAUGUUUAAGUGGAAGUUUCAGAGGAUUACACGGUCAAGCUGUUGAUCCGAUGGGGCAGGGACUAGGUGUACACGUAUAUUAUACAAUCUUACGCAAUCUUCGACAGAACGUCGUUCAACAAGGUGACUGUCUGCGAGUAGUACUUCUCUGCGUCCUUCGUACUCUUCGAUCUUGCUGCGUAGUCAAGCUGUAAGACAACGUAGUGUGAGAAAAGAUGCCUCCACAAAAAACUUAGUAAAAUGAUAGUUUAGACUCCUGCUUGAAAUUGACAAAAAGUAG
rnacentral:lncRNA from 1 species